rnacentral:rRNA from 1 species
UGGGGAAUAUUGCACAAUGGACGGAAGUCUGAUGCAGCAACGCCGCGUGCGGGAUGACGGCCUUCGGGUUGUAAACCGCUUUUUCUCAUGACGAAGUUUUUUGACGGUAGUGGGGGAAGAAGCACCGGCUAACUACGUGCCAGCAGCCGUGGUGAUACGUAGGGUGCGAGCGUUGUCCGGAAUUAUUGGGCGUAAAGAGCUUGUAGGCGGUUUGUCGCGUCGAUAGUGCAAACUCAGUGCUUAACGCUGAGCCUGCUGUUGAUACGGGCAGACUAGAGGAAGGUAGGGGAGAAUGGAAUUCCCGGUGGAGCGGUGGAAUGCGCAGAUAUCGGGAGGAACACCGGUGGCGAAGGCGGUUCUCUGGGCCUUUCCUGACGCUGAGAAGCGAAAGCGUGGGGAGCGAACAGG